UGGGGAAUAUUGGACAAUGGGCGAAAGCCUGAUCCAGCCAUGCCGCGUGUGUGAAGAAGGUCUUCGGAUUGUAAAGCACUUUAAGUUGGGAGGUAGGGCAGUAAGCGAAUACCUUGCUGUUUUUACGUUACCGACAGAAUAAGCACCGGCUAACUCUGUGCCAGCAGCCGCGGUAAUACAUAGGGUGCAAGCGUUAAUCGGAAUUACUGGGCGUAAAGCGCGCGUAGGUGGUUCGUUAAGUUGAAUGUGAAAGCCCCGGGCUCAACCUGGGAACAGCAUCCAAAACUGGCGAGCUCGAGUAGGGCAGAGGGUGGAGGAAUUUCCUGUGUAGCGGUGAAAGGCGUAGAUAUAGGAAGGAACACCAGUGGCGAAGGCGACCACCUGGGCUCAUACUGACGCUGAGGUGCGAAAGCGUGGGGAGCAAACAGG
rnacentral:rRNA from 1 species